GGUGGAGCCAGCCCGGGCCUCUGCUGACAGCCGUACCUGUGACUCUGAUCACUAGUCUUCGCGGGCAAGACCAGCUUUCCGGGGCCCCAGGCUAGGAAGCCCGAGUUUCUGGAACCAUAGAAGGGGAUUCUCCAAGAUAAUGAGGACAGCUGUGAAGGACAUCUGGAAACAACAAACAGUCACAUCUCCUUAAAUGGAUCCACUUUCCGAUCUUUGAAAAUACUUUAGAGCCUCCAGUUAAAGUGUAAACUUCCCAGCUAAGUGAAGAUGAAGAUCUUGUCAUUUCUAACACUUGUAUAAAAAGAGAGGUUAUUCAAACUCAAAUAAUAACAGAAUUACAUCCAUGUCCCGGAAAGAAAUGGAGAAUCACCAGUGGGAUGGAAGAGAAAACACUAAACACAAGAAAUAAAUACUAAAACACA
rnacentral:lncRNA from 1 species